rnacentral:misc_RNA from 1 species
GCGAAGGAUAUGUGAUCCCUGAUGGCCUGACUUGAAAUAUUAAUUGGUUUCGUUGAGCUGCUGUUGACCAUCUUCCCUUGCUCUUCUUGAGUGGGAGGGGACAGCUCAUCCCCAUACCAGAGACAGGUUCAUCCCUCCCCAUCUCGAUUUUGGGUUGUGAAUAGUUGGUUUAGUUUUUAUUUUAUAGUGCAAAACUAAUGCUGAUGAGAGAGGGAUUGUGAUAGGAUCUGCUUCUUAUGAAGUUCCAGUAUUAGUUUUCUGGAAUCUCCCCAUUCAGCUAGCAUCUCAAAGGUGCUUUCAAUACAGAUCGUUUGGCUGCUAGGUUCCGAUCUCUUUAACUAUAUGUGAGUAAGGAGCCUAAGUGAUGCUAGGCCUUUCCAAGCUUUGCCAGCGUUUACGUGGUCCUAUAUCACUAGCUCGACAUGUGCCUGCCUUUCUGACCUGUAGGUAUCCCUGAUUUGAUUUAGUGUUUGGGAUCUCUAUUUUUGGGAUGGCUUUUAGUCUACAUGUGCUUUAGUUUGGUUGAGUUUCCCUCUAUUACCGUCUCCUUAGGCUCGCUUUGUAUCAAUAUGCACUUAAGCAAUGGCGAUGGAGAAGGUCUUCCUUCUUUGCUUGUUGGGUUGAUAAAUUGAGUAUGUUAUCUGAUAAUUUUAGAAUUUUUUUUAAUUGAGA